rnacentral:misc_RNA from 1 species
UACGGAGGGGGCUAGCGUUGUUCGGAAUUACUGGGCGUAAAGGGCACGUAGGCGGAUUGUUAAGUCGGAGGUGAAAUCCUGAGGCUCAACCUCAGAAUUGCCUUCGAUACUGGCGGUCUCGAGUACGGGAGAGGUGUGUGGAAUUCCAAGUGUAGAGGUGAAAUUCGUAGAUAUUUGGAAGAACACCAGUGGCGAAGGUGGCUCAUUGGCCCGUAACUUACGCUGAGGUGCGAAAGCGUGGGGAGCAAACAGG